rnacentral:rRNA from 1 species
AUUGAACGCUGGCGGCAUGCUUUACACAUGCAAGUCGAACGGCAGCGGGGAGGAGCUUGCUUCUCUGCCGGCGAGUGGCGAACGGGUGAGUAAUACAUCGGAACGUGUCGAGAAGAGGGGGAUAACCACCCGAAAGGGUGGCUAAUACCGCAUAAAUUCUGAGGAAGAAAGCUGGGGACCUGGGAAUAGGCCUAGCGCUUUUUGAGCGGCCGAUGUCGGAUUAGCUAGUUGGUGAGGUAAAGGCUCACCAAGGCGAAGAUCUGUAGCGGGUCUGAGAGGAUGAUCAGCCACACUGGGACUGAGACACGGCCCAGACUCCUACGGGAGGCAGCAGUGGGGAAUUUUGGACAAUGGGGGCAACCCUGAUCCAGCCAUGCCGCGUGUAUGAAGAAGGCCUUAGGGUUGUAAAGUACUUUUGUUAGGGAAGAAAAGUCAGCUGUGAAUAAUGGCUGAUACUGACGGUACCUAAAGAAUAAGCACCGGCUAACUACGUG